UACGUAGGGGGCGAGCGUUGUCCGAAGUUACUGGGCGUAAAGGGUGCGCAGGCGGUCGGGUGUGUCAGAUGUGAAAUCCCGAGGCUCAACCUCGGAACUGCGUCUGAAACUACUCGACUAGAGUACUGGAGAGGGUAACGGAAUUCACGGUGUAGCAGUGAAAUGCGUAGAUAUCGUGAGGAACACCAGAGGCGAAGGCGGUUACCUGGACAGUUACUGACGCUCAGGCACGAAAGCAUGGGGAGCAAAAGGG
rnacentral:rRNA from 1 species